rnacentral:rRNA from 1 species
GAUGAACGCUGGCGGCGUGCCUAAUACAUGCAAGUCGAGCGAACAGACGAGGAGCUUGCUCCUCUGACGUUAGCGGCGGACGGGUGAGUAACACGUGGAUAACCUACCUAUAAGACUGGGAUAACUUCGGGAAACCGGAGCUAAUACCGGAUAAUAUAUUGAACCGCAUGGUUCAAUAGUGAAAGACGGUUUUGCUGUCACUUAUAGAUGGAUCCGCGCCGCAUUAGCUAGUUGGUAAGGUAACGGCUUACCAAGGCAACGAUGCGUAGCCGACCUGAGAGGGGGAUCCGCCACACCGGAACUGAGGAACGGGCCAGACCCCCUCGGGGGGGAGCAGUGGGGAAUUCUCCGCAAAGGGGGGAAGGCCGAACGAGCCACCCCGGGUGGGGGAAGGAGGGCUUCCGGUUGGAAAACCCUUUUUUUGGGGAAAAAAAAAAGUUGUAAAUAACCAUGCAGGUCUGAAGGGAACCAAAGAAGAAGCCCCGGCUAAAUUAGUG